AUUGAACGCUGGCGGCAGGCCUAACACAUGCAAGUCGAACGAGUGGCGGACGGGUUAGUAAUGUCUGUGCAACUGCCUGAUGGAGGGGGAUCACUACUGGAAACUGUAACUAAUACCGCCUACCAUCAGCUGUGCCCAGAUGGGAUUAGCUUGUUGGUGGGGUAACGGCUUACCACGGCGACGAUCCCUAGCUGGUCUGAGAGGAUGACCAGUCACACUGGAACUGAGACAGGGUCCAGACUCCUACGGGAGGCAGCAGUGGGGAAUAUUGCACAAUGGGCGAAAGCCUGAUGCAGCCAUGCCGCGUGUAUGAAGAAGGCCUUCGGGUUGUAAAGUACUUUCAGCUGGGAGGCGUUACCCGCAGAAGAAGCACCGGCUAACUCCGUGCCAGCCGCCGCGGUAAUAC
rnacentral:rRNA from 1 species